CCGGCGACCGGCGGACGGGUGCGUAACGCGUAUGUAACCUACCUUUGACAGGGGGAUAACAUCGAGAAAUUGAUACUAAUACCCCAUAACAUCACCGGAGGCAUCUUCGGUGGUUGAAAACUCAGGUGGUCAGAGAUGGACAUGCGUUGUAUUAGCUAGUUGGUGAGGUAACGGCUCACCAAGGCGACGAUACAUAGGGGGACUGAGAGGUCAACCCCCCACAUUGGUACUGAGACACGGACCAAACUCCUACGGGAGGCAGCAG
rnacentral:rRNA from 1 species